GUAUUUCAAUUUCGAUACAUUAGCAAAAAUGUUGAAAAACAUGUUUUCACUUUUCAUUAUGGGGUAUUGUGUGUAGAUGGGUGAGAGAAAAAAAGUAAUCAAUUUUGGAUUCGGGCUGUAACACAACAAAAUGUGGAAUUGGUCAAGGGGUAUUAAUACUUUCUGAAGGCACUGUAUACCUUUCCCUGUACCGCAGCCACGGAUGUAUCUCUCCACUCUCCCCCUCCUCCUCCUCCCUGCCGUGCCAUUUGGACAAUGUGUGGGGCAAGCUGUUAUCUGGCCUAAUUUCCUUCCUAGUUCCACCCACAUUUCCCCUUUUUUCGACUCUUAUUUUGAAGCAUAAAUAGGGAAUUAGGUCAGGAGUUAUUAGGUGUGGGGCGAGGAAGGACAGCUAUUGAGGGAUUGACAACAUUUCAGAAAGAUGUUUUCUUCUGUUUUGUGCCUAUUGAACAUGACCUAGGGGAAAUGCUGGGCAUGUAGGGAGUUUUUUUUACUCAUUUGGAUUCAUUUUAGUUUGACUUCAAUGGUCUUCCCUCCUUCAGUGUACACUCACCCAGCCCUUCCAGAGUCAGAUAUCAUUCCAGCACCCAGAAAAUCCGGGGGAAAAGAGCCUAAGGGGAAGAGAGCCUCAGAAGUCACUGAGAUCAUCAUCAAGCAUGUGUGUGAACUGUGUAUGGGAGGCCAUGAGCAAAUGCACUGCACGCCACAAGGUCAAAUACGGUUGCACCUUCUGUCAGAGAAAGGUAAGACGCUCUACAGACGCUCUACUUAACCCUCUACAGACUGUGUCUCAGGCCACUUAACUAAGUUCUCAGGGGUCGUGUCAGCUCUGACUAAUUUCUCUGCUUUCAGUAUUUAACUGUUGUUUUACAGAGCUGACUUAGCAUAAAAGGUCUCUUAGGACUCAUGAACAUGUCAGGUCUUUACAUUUUAGCAGACACUCUCAUCCAGAGCGGCUUACAGUAGUGAGUGCAUACAAAAAUAAAAAAUACUUAAUAAAAAUACAAAGAAAAUACUUAAGUACUACUAUAGUUUAUAUUUAUAUUUUUGACAACUUUUACUCCACUACAUUCUUAAAGAAAAUAAUGUACUUUACUCCUUACAUUUUCCCUGACACCCAAAAGUACUUGUUACAUUUUGAAUACAUAGCAGGAAGGACAUAAGACAUUUAAAAUUAUUUAUACUUUUACUUUUGAUACUUAAGUACAUUUAAACCAAAUACUUUCAGACUUUUACUCAAGUAGUAUUUUACUGGGUGACUUUCACUUUUACUUGAGUCAUUUUCUUUUAAAGGUACCUUUACUUUUACUCAAGUAUGAAAAUUGGGUACUUUUCCACCACUGACAUUUUCACACUUUUUCCAUACUGGUCCCCCUUGGGAAUCGAACCCACAACCCUGGGUUGCAAGCAUCAUGCUCUACCAACUGACCCACACGGGACCAGGUCAUCAAAUCUGCUGAUUGGAUCGCAGCCCACCACACACCCUACUACUGAUCGCUUGUCUCUCUACUCUUGAGGGGGCGCGAUUCAUUCGGACAGUCUACUCUUAGGAACCAAAAACCAGACACAAUCAGGGUAGUCUCCCCAGACAGACAUGCUGCCUCACACAAUUUAACAAUAUUUCAUCAUAUACGAUUGCCCAAGUGCCUGCGUCGGUUGGGCAAAGAAGAGUAGGCGGAAAUGGAAUGCACACAGGAAAUCGUCCAGAGCCUUAUCGGUUAAUUUCCUGCCAUAAAAAUGUCAACUGGAAACAACAUUGAUGGAGCUCGCAGACGAUAUUUUCAAAGAGUGCAUUUCGCAAGUGAGUAGUUUGCAUGCGCCUUUACAGCUAAUGUUAGCGUUACAAGCUUAUAACCACUGACAGCUAACAUCUUUUUUUCUUUCCCCUUUCAAAGUGGCCAAGAAAAUCUGACAUGAUCCCCAGACCUAGCACUGUUGCCCUAGGUCUGGGAUUUAUUAGACUACAAUCAAGGCAAAACAUUACUUCCCAGUACUGACUGCUUAUCUUACUUCUUUACCCUGGCUUAUUCUUAUUGCAGGACUGGAAGGAUCACCAGCACAAUGGCUGCUGGUGGGGCUGUGGCUGUCCAGGAGGAUGUGUCCAUGUCAACCAUAGACACUCACAGACACCCAAACAGACUCUGUAAAAAAAGCUAAGCUCUCCUUUAAAUACCGCAGCGACUUAAUCAUGGCUUCUGAUUCUGACCUCAGCAAGUUGUAACGUAAGUGCUGGUGCUUCUCUUUGAACGCAUGGACGAUAGUCGCUAGACUUUGUCAUGCCCCUAGAACAUGUAGAGUAUUUUAUGACAGCUGGGAUUUUUCUUUUUUUUUACACCAAACUGAAAUGUUGCUGAAUGAUAUUACAUUGUCUCCUGUCUGAAGAAAAAACAUUUGAAACCCCUAAAAACACUACAUUACACCAAGGGGACUCUUACCUCUUCAGAUGAUCAAAGACAAUUAUUUGAAGAGCAGUGUUAGCCUCCCUCAACAGACUUUGGUCUCUGGUUCGAUUUAUAUAUUUGUCAUGGAAACCUACAGAUAUUGAAUGACUGCGUAUGUGUCAUGUUUAGUCUACUACCCCUGUGAACCAGAUUUAAAAACCCACAGAAUGCCUGUUACUGAAAAAUACUAAUGCUCUAUAAGUGCCGAUUUACUUAAAUUAUAUAUUUUAAGUAAAUGUGUUAAUGUUUUUUUAUUUAUGUAUUAUGUUGGCUCUGUUCUGCAUUAAAUGGAGCAGGAAAGGCAGGUAUGCUACAAUAGGUCUGAAAAGAACCUAUGAGAAUGAAAUAAAACACCAAAGGACCUUG